CUGGCUCCUCUUGGGCAGCUCCUAGGCCUCUUUCUGUUCCUUGGAAGGGAGAGGCACAAAGGCCUAAUGCUGUAGCAGCAAGAGAAGGAACAUCUAGGAGACCCUUAGGAAGGUGGAGCAGUACUAAGCUUCUUCCAGUCCAGAAAAAUAUCUAGCCAAAGACAUCAGUCCUCACCGAGAACAACAGAUGAACACAAUUUUGGGGAUUGUGAGCCAAGCUGUCUAGGAGUUAUUGUAAGAACAAUGGGAUGCCCUCCACAUGGCAAAAACUAUAAAAGGCCCUGGAAACACCUCCACUUUGUCUUCAAUUCUGCUUCUUACCUCUGGAGGACCUUUGCUACAAACUGAAGCUCUGAACAAUGGACUGAAUGACCCAUCCAAGCUGUGGAUGUACUCCAGAGACUUGACUUAAGCUAUCAGUUUAUUCCAUCACUGUUACAAGCCUGA